rnacentral:rRNA from 1 species
UGGGGAAUAUUGCACAAUGGGGGGAACCCUGAUGCAGCGACGCCGCGUGAAGGAAGAAGUAUUUCGGUAUGUAAACUUCUAUCAGCAGGGAAGAAGACAGACGGUACCUGACUAAGAAGCCCCGGCUAACUACGUGCCAGCAGCCGCGGUAAUACGUAGGGGGCGAGCGUUAUCCGGAUUUACUGGGUGUAAAGGGGGCGCAGACGGCCAUGGCAAGCCCGGUGUGAAAGGUGCGGGCACAACCCGCAGACUGCACUGGUAACUGCCUGGCUGGAGUGCCGGAGGGGUAAGCGGAAUUCCUGGUGUAGCGGUGAAAUGCGUAGAUAUCAGGAGGAACACCGGUGGCGAAGGCGGCUUACUGGACGGCAACUGACGUUGAGGCCCGAAAGCGUGGGGAGCGAACAGG